rnacentral:lncRNA from 1 species
GAACAAUUCCCCAUGGUCUCUAUUUGCUGCAAAUAAACUUUACUUUGUGUGACAACUACUUCUGGUGAAGGCGCUGAUUUCAACUCACCAACAAGGGGACCCACUUUGGUUCGGUAACAUUACCGUUAUCAUCUGCUGACAUACUGCAUGGUUUGCUUCUUUAUUCGGUUUCUUGUCCGCCUCCCCCACUAGAAUGUGAGCUCCUUGAAGGCAAAGAUUUCUGUCUGCCUUGUUCACUGCUAUGCAGCCACUUCCUAGAACAGUGCCAGCACUUCUGAGGUCCUCAAAUAUUCAUUGAAUGAAUGAAAUGUUUUGUGUGGGCUUUCUCAUUGAAUUUUCAGCACCAUCAAGGAGAGGACAGUAAGCAUGACUAAAGUCUCCCACCAUCUUCCAGACGCCUUGGACUCAGGGAGAAACUGUUAUCAUGCCCAUGAGGAAACCAGAGAGGUGGGAUUACUUGUCCAAAGUCACACAGCUCGCUGGCUGUGGUUUAUUACGGAUGGAUCAGGCUGGCAACACAAGAAUCCAAGAUGGGAUCUCAUCACAAAACAGGAGACAACCAGAUGAUAAGUGGCUCCUGAUCGAAGAACUCAAGACCACCCAUAAAGUAUAUUUACCCUAAAAUUGAACCUGAA